rnacentral:rRNA from 1 species
UACGUAGGGUGCAAGCGUUGUCCGGAAUUAUUGGGCGUAAAGAGCUCGUAGGCGGUCCGUCACGUCGGCUGUGAAAACCUGGGGCUCAACCCCGGGCCUGCAGCUGAUACGGGCGGACUAGAAUUCGGUAGGGGAGACUGGAAUUCCUGGUGUAGCGGUGAAAUGCGCAGAUAUCAGGAGGAACACCGGUGGCGAAGGCGGGUCUCUGGGCCGAUAUUGACGCUGAGGAGCGAAAGCGUGGGGAGCGAACAGG